AUCUGCAAAGCCCUCGGGAGUGUUCGAAGCCUUGAAUUGACUCCUCUCUUCUCCCCACCACUACUCUCUCUCUCUCCGUCGUGAAAACCGAUACACUCUCUCUCGCUCUUUCUUUCUCUCCCCGUCGUGAAAACCAAUACGCCCGCCCUCUCUCUUUCUCUCUCUCUCUCUUCAUUGGGUAUUCAGAGUAAGCUCUGGUCGCCGUCGGCGCUGUUCGAUUUGCUGAGAUAAAGUCAGGUUACGUGUCAUCGACACCUGUGUGUUUUGCAUGGAAGAGAGAGAAAUUAAAGAGAAAAGAAGCAGUAGAACUGUAGAGGGGAGAAGAAGAAGAAGAAGGGCUUUUUGGGUUUCUUUCUGGGUUUCUGGGUUUUGUAUGCGCCCGUCUGAGCAAACCCUAAAUCACCAAUAUUAUCUCGGUCUCUUUUUUUGUCUCUUUCUCUCUCUUGAAGGGUAGAUAAAAUCACCAUUAUUAUUUGUUGGCGGGGGCGUUUAUGAGUUGUGAGUACCACCAGUGGUACCUUUCCGUAAAUGGGUCUGACUCAGUUUUCUCAGAUCUGACUGUUAUCUUUCCUAUUUAUGUGUUUGAUAUGUUUGUUCUUCUUCUUUUCCUUUUCUUCUGUGUUCUUAGUUGUUACCAUUUUUGGAAAGUUCAUCUUCAUCAUCGUCUUUCCUGCGCUCUUCCUUUUUUUCUUUUUCUUUUUUUUUUUUUAUGGUUUUUUGGUGUAGGGAGUCUGCCUGUUUCGGGGUCUUAGAGAGAUUGACAGAAGAGAGUGAGCACACAGAGGCCGAAUUGUAUAAAGUUAUGCAAUUGCUUUUGCGUGCUCACUGCUCUUUCUGUCACCUCUUUCCACUGCCGGAAUUUUACCAUAUAUCACUCCCGUACGUGCCUCUCUCUCCCUUCAACAUCUCUCUUUCUCUAUGUGGAGGAGACGAAUGGGAAAGGAAGAUCACUCACUGUUUAAUUUACAACUUCAUUAGGACGUGUGUAUUUGUAUAUUUAAUUCAAUAGAGGAAAAUAGGUUGAAAGCGUGACUUUUGAUGGGUUAUCUUUGAGAUGGUAAUCCCUGAUGGAUUACUGUGCUGAUUUAACGGAAAACUGUAUUAUUAUUGGACCAUUCUCACGUUAUGUGCAGUACAACUUCAUCCCAUACAUGGGUUAAUUCUUUAAAACUCUUCCCCCCCCCCCCCCCCCACCCCACCCCACCCCACCCCACCCCCUAUUUUCUCUCCCCUUUCUUUUCUCCUUUCUUGCUUUUUCAAAAUUGUUUGUCUGCGCAUGCUGAAUCGUGAAUUGGUCUGACCAAUCAAUUGGUUUUUGUGUGUGCGCGCGAGAGGGGAGGUAUGUUUUCUUUUUCUUGUUUUUUUUUUUCCCAACUGGGACUUGGUAGCUUGCACUGUCAGUGCAAAUGGAGCUAUUUAAUUUUCAUGCGUUUGCUUCUAGCUUAAAUCUUGCCCAAAAGGGAAUUACUUGUAUGUGUGCCCUUGCUUACGUUGCAUAUGGGGUUUGGGAAACAACUUCGAAUUCUUUAGAUUACGUAUAGCUGUUGCUAAUGGAGAAGUGUACUGUACGUUUUCUGAAAUUAGUGUUUAAGAUGUUUGACAGGUGGAGAAAAAUAUGUAUCUGCUAGUGUGCGUCACUGUGUGCGUGUGUAAAUGUGUGUUUUCUGGUCUUCUCUUCUGGAGAUUGUGCAGAUCUUUUGGAGGUUUUAAGGAACUUAUGUGAUGGUGGCAGGAAGCUUUCUCAGGAGGAGACUUAUCAAACAGGUGAUGACAAGUGAAUGGCAUCCGGGACAACUCAAUCUCUUCUUCUUCUUCUUCUUCUCAGAUUACACUGAUAUAAUAUAUGCAUGGUUUACUCUCGCAGAACUGAUGGGGGGAUUUGUAUUCGGGAAGUAAAAUCACGGAGAUUAUCUUAGACAGCUGAAGUAGUAAUUGGAAAUUUUUUCUCCUACAAUUAUGGUUUCCUCACUGGAGGGAUUUCGGAUUUGAUUCGGGUCAAAGGUUGCUGGCCUGCUGGUCUUGAGGUCACCAUAGCUGGAGAUGAAACUUGAGUUGUUCAAUUUUGAGGUUCCUUGGUUGAAAUCAAUGAUGAUGUUUGCCAAGUUCAACAUGGUGCUGGUAAGGGCAGGCUGACUAUGAAUGGAAUGGAUUCUUUUGUUUAGAGAUGGCUACACUGGCUGAAUUCAAUGCACUACUGUAUUUUGGUCAUUCUAGAAUUCAAAACCCUAUUCUGUUUGCUGCCGCCACUAGUUCUAAUGCAAUUAUGUAUGGAACAUUGCCAACCCAAUUCAUAUAGCCAGUUGUGGAGAGAACCAGUGGCUUUGAAACAAUGGCUGAACUAUGGAAAGCACCAAUAUUUCUCAGGGGUAUUGGAGAGCUGGGAGCCAAGACUUCAAUUGCUAGGGUUUCACCACGCCUCCUCUGCGAAUAGUAGCCGGCCGAUAGCAGCACUCAGUGCCAUAGGUUCAUUUCAUAGGUUCUGUGAAGUACUCCAAAAGUUCUUGCAAAGACAAAUGAAUUGAAGUGUUGUAUUAACAGAACUGCCAGAUACAAGUUGAUUAAAAACUCAAAAAAAAAAAAUAAGGAAGGAAAGAAGAUAGCUUUGUGGAAUCUCACCAGUUUUGUUGCUCAGUGGCAUUAUUAUCUGCUGAUUCCUCUACGGCUACUUUAUGCUAGGAACAGAAGCUUCAGAAAGCGUUUCCCUGAAACAUUUGUUGAGUGAGGGAUUGAUUGAUUGCGUUCUGUUUCUAUGUUGACCGUUUAUUUGCAUGUGGCGGGAAAUAAAAUUUGUACCGCAAUUAUUGCCGUGGUA